rnacentral:tRNA from 1 species
GCCGACUUAGCUCAGCAGGUAGAGCACAUCCAUGGUAAGGAUGGGGUCUCCGGUUCAAGUCCGGAAGUCGGCUCCA